UGCUUCCUUAGCCUAGGCUGAUCCCACAAGAAAUGUUACCUUUUUCCAUGCCAUCCUUGGUGCAUGUAGGGAGCUCAUCAGUGUGCUGAGGUUUUCAAUAAAACAUGGGUGUAACAGCUGGCACAGGUGCAGGUAGUGCCUCACUGCCCUCCAGAGAUGAGCAGGAGCAGACCGGUGAUAGCGUGUCAGCCCCGUGGCAGCAAACAGCAUCCAGAGCCCAGCGAGGAGAAAGGAGGAGAAGGAGGCAGUAUGUCAGCUCUGGCAGGACCCAAAUGGAGGAAAAAUGUGACUCUGGAAAAGUAAUCAUGCUCCUGAGGGGGCAGGGAAGUCAGUGUGCCCCUGCCACUUUGCUCCAUGCCCACAUGAAAGGAUAAUGUGCUUAAAAAUGCUCCACUGCACUACCCGCUACCAGGACGCCUGGAGUAGGGCUGCCACUGGAUACAUGGGCUACUCCCUUCCAAGGUCACUCAAGGAAUCCAGCAGUUUGUGCUGGCUGUCACAGGUUUAGGUUGCAUUGAGGCAGCCAUACCGGUGUUGAGCAGACUGAUACAGAGCACGCAUUGUUUACUGCAGUUUUCACACCCUUAUCUGAGAGGAAAGGCCAGCACAUGAUCUCACGUGGGUUUGUUUCCCAGCCUCGUGCUGUUUGUAAAGGGCACUGUAUACCUGGUCAGAAACAAUGGCUUCCUGUUUCAUUAAUGAGUUCUUACAGCAAUUUCCCUUCAGAGUAAUCACCUUGGGUGAAGGAGGUGUGCCCGUCCAAAAGCAAUUGUCCCUCCCAGUGGGUCACAUUGGGGGCACCAUUCUCCACCAACAGAAAAACCACUCCUUUUGGGUCUCAGUUUGGAUGCUAAAGAAACCAGUGCUGCCAGAGUCAUCAGUCACCUGAAGCUAUCAGUCAGAAUGUCUCCUGGGAUUAAAAAACUCUCCUUGGGAAAGUAUCCACUUCCCAUGAUCUCAGGCUGAAGUCUCCUGCAUUAGCCACUGAGGCUAAAUCACCACUCAUCUCAGCCAGUUUAGCUGCCACACCUUUUUCCAGAUGGAAGGUUUCUGAGCUGCAUGUUGGCACUACAAGUGAGAGAACUGGUGGCAUCACUCCGACUUAUGGCAGCAAAAGGUCUGACUUAGAUCAUGAGCUGUUGGAACCAGGUGGGGCAGUGUUUCCCUUGCCCCUCCCUCUGGACUAUCUCCUGUUCAUGGGCCAUACAGGCCCUGCCCAUGACUCACAGGUAACUCCCUCUGGAGCUCUCUCUGUUCAAUGGGCAAUCAAGGACCCACUGCAGGACUCAUGGAAUGAGAUCAGCCCAUUGGGAGAUGCUCUGCCCAGGGGAGGAGCCAAGCAUUCCCACCUGGAUAUAACCUGGGAUUUGGGACAGCACAGGAGCCCUUACCCACUGGAUUCACAGAGGAAGACUAGACCUUUUCUUGAUGAUCGUCUCUACUCCAACAGAGCCACAUCUGUCACUCCAGGAGGACUUAUUUUGGACUGUUUCCAACACCCUGACCAACAGGGUAUCAGGUUUGUAUUCUGACUUUGUCAGUGGUUCUUUGUACUACUGCAUUUAUUUUUAUUUUUACCUUUUUGUUGUUUGUUUCUUCUCUCUCUAUUAAAUUGUAUUUCUGACUUGAA